GACGAACGCUGGCGGCGUGCUUAACACAUGCAAGUCGAACGGAAAGGCCCCUUCGGGGGUACUCGAGUGGCGAACAGGUGAGUAACACGUGAGUAACCUGCCCUUGACUUCGGGAUAACUUCAGGAAACUGGGGCUAAUACCGGAUAGGAAUCCUUGCUGCAUGGUGGGGGUUGGAAAGCUUCGGCGGUUUUGGAUGGACUCGCGGCUUAUCAGCUUGUUGGUGGGGUAGUGGCUUACCAAGGCUUUGACGGGUAGCCGGCCUGAGAGGGCGACCGGCCACAUUGGGACUGAGAUACGGCCCAGACUCCUACGGGAGGCAGCAGUGGGGAAUAUUGCACAAUGGGCGGAAGCCUGAUGCAGCAACGCCGCGUGCGGGAUGACGGCCUUCGGGUUGUAAACCGCUUUCAGCAGGGGCGAAGCUUGUGGUGACGGUACCUGCAGAAGAAGCGCCGGCUAACUACGUG
rnacentral:rRNA from 1 species